AACGAACGCUGGCGGCAUGCCUAACACAUGCAAGUCGAACGAGACCUUCGGGUCUAGUGGCGCACGGGUGCGUAACGCGUGGGAACCUGCCCUUAGGUUCGGAAUAACUCCCCGAAAGGGGUGCUAAUACCGGAUAAUGUCUUCGGACCAAAGAUUUAUCGACUUUGGAUGGGCCCGCGUUGGAUUAGCUAGUUGGUAGGGUAAAAGCCUACCAAGGCGACGAUCCAUAGCUGGUUUGAGAGGAUGAUCAGCCACACUGGGACUGAGACACGGCCCAGACUCCUACGGGAGGCAGCAGUGGGGAAUAUUGGACAAUGGGCGAAAGCCUGAUCCAGCAAUGCCGCGUGAGUGAUGAAGGCCUUAGGGUUGUAAAGCUCUUUUACCCGGGAUGAUAAUGACAGUACCGGGAGAAUAAGCUCCGGCUAACUCCGUG
rnacentral:rRNA from 1 species